AACGAACGCUGGCGGCAGGCUUAACACAUGCAAGUCGAGCGCAUCCUUCGGGGUGAGCGGCAGACGGGUGAGUAACGCGUGGGAACGUACCCUUUGCUACGGAAUAGCUCCGGGAAACUGGAAUUAAUACCGUAUGAGCCCUUCAGGGGAAAGAUUUAUCGGCAAAGGAUCGGCCCGCGUUGGAUUAGCUAGUUGGUGGGGUAAAGGCCUACCAAGGCGACGAUCCAUAGCUGGUCUGAGAGGAUGAUCAGCCACAUUGGGACUGAGACACGGCCCAAACUCCUACGGGAGGCAGCAGUGGGGAAUAUUGGACAAUGGGCGCAAGCCUGAUCCAGCCAUGCCGCGUGAGUGAUGAAGGCCUUAGGGUUGUAAAGCUCUUUCAGUAGGGAAGAUAAUGACGGUACCUACAGAAGAAGCCCCGGCUAACUUCGUGCCAGCCGCCGCCGUAAAAC
rnacentral:rRNA from 1 species